CCGCAGGCGGCCAUGGCGGCGGGCGCGGGGGCCAGGCCGGCGCCGCGCGGCCUCCGGGCGCUGUGGGAGCCGCUGGGCGCGGCGCAGCUGCGGCGGCUGCAGGAGCACCGCUACCGCGCGGCGGGCGUGUCGCUGCUCGAGCCGCCGCUGCAGCUCUACUGGACCUGGCUGCUCCGCUGGGUGCCGCUCUCGCUGGCCCCCAACUCCAUCACGCUGCUGGGCCUGCUCGUCAACCUGCUCACCACGCUCGUGCUCGUCGCCUACUGCCCCACGGCCACCGAGGAGGCACCAUACUGGACGUACCUUCUAUGUGCUCUGGGACUCUUUAUCUACCAGUCACUGGAUGCGAUUGAUGGGAAACAAGCCAGAAGAUUAAAUUCUUGUUCUCCUUUAGGGGAACUCUUUGACCAUGGUUGUGAUUCUCUUUCCACAGUAUUUAUGGCAGUUGGGGCCUCGCUAGCCGUGCGCCUAGGAACAAAUCCUGACUGGCUGUUCUUCUGCUCCUUCAUUGGCAUGUUCAUGUUCUAUUGUGCCCACUGGCAGACUUACGUUUCAGGCGUGUUGAGGUUUGGAAAAGUGGAUGUAACAGAAAUCCAGAUAGCGUUAAUGAUGGUGUUUAUAUUGUCUGCAUUUGGAGGAGCAACAAUGUGGGACUAUUCAAUACCCAUUGUAGAAAUAAAAUUGAAGACCUUUCCAAUUCUUGGAGUAGUAGGUGGAGCAAUAUUUUCCUGUUCCAAUUAUUUCCAUGUGAUCCUCCAUGGAGGUGUUGGCAAGAAUGGAUCCACUAUAGCAGGCACCAGUGUCUUGUCACCUGGCCUCCACAUAGGAAUUAUUAUUAUACUGGCGAUAAUGAUCUAUAAAAAGUCUGCAACUAAUGUGUUUGAAAAGCAUCCUUGUUUAUAUACCCUAAUGUUUGGAUGUGUCUUUGCUAAAGUCUCACAAAAACUGGUGAUAGCACAUAUGACCAAAAGUGAACUGUAUCUUCAAGACACUGUCUUUUUUGGCCCAGGUCUUUUAUUUUUAGAUCAAUAUUUUAAUAAUUUUGUAGAUGAACAUGUUGUUUUAUGGAUUGCAAUGGUCAUUUCUUCAUUUGAUAUGAUGAUAUACUUUAGUGCUUUGUGCCUGCAAAUUUCAAGACACCUUCAUAUAAAUAUUUUCAAGACUUCCUAUCAUCAAGCACCUGAACAGGUUCACAAGCAUAUUGACUAAUAAUCCAAGGAAAAGAGGAGAAGCAGUUAGGGGAAGCUAUGAGUGAAGGAAAUCCCCUUUUGCAGGAGGCUAGUAUAUUAUCAAAUAAGGUUAUAUUUUAAUAUGAACCAUUAAGUUCUACAUAUUAUGUCUAUUUCAGUUGUGACAACUUCAUUGUGUAUCAUCACUUAUUGUCAAAGCAAUAUAAUCUGUAAUUAGGAACAAAACCAAAGAAAUUACUUUUCUGUGGAUAAGAAAGUGAACCACUGUAGUUCUAAAUGGCAAUCUCUUUAUCUCAGAAAUCUUUUUCAGACAGUUGGGGUUUUCAUUAUGAAAAGAUUUUUAAAAUUCAGGACUUAAAGGAUUUCAACCAUUUUGUCAGUCAUGCUUUCUUAGAAAUUGAAAAUUAAUUAAGUUCAUGAUACUGAAUAAAUGCUUGUAAUACUUUACUGAGGCAGAUGAUGUUAUAUGAAAUAUUAGUCAUUUUAAAAAUAUGUUAACUACUACUGUAUGAAAGUAAACACUUGUCCUUGUAUAACACAUAGAAUAUAAAAAACAUGCUGGAUUUUCUAUCAUUUAUAUUUAGUAAAAGUAAUUUUAUCUUACCAGUUCAGAAAAACUAAUUUUUACAGUAAAGGUAGCUUGUUCCUUAAUGUUUUCAAAUAAAGUUUUAUUACAAAAAAAGAGAGGUAAUAAAUAUUCCUUUUUUAUAAAAAAUAAAAUAGUAAAGCCAAUUGACAUAAGAAAAUUAUUAAUAGGGGCUGAAGUGAUAAUAUAAAGGAUAGGGCUCUUCACUUGCAUGUGGCCAACCCAGGUUUGAUUCCAAGUAUACCAUACGGUCCACCUAAGCCCCACCAAAAGUGAAUCCUGAGUACAGAAUGAGUAGUAAGCCUUAACUAAGCACAGCCAAGUGUGGCCUCCAAACAAAACAACAAAUUCUAGGUGGGUGGUUCUCAAAGUCCACAGGCCAGUGUCAGACUAAUUUCCUGAUGGUCUUUGAGAAAGGAUAUUGCCACUCAAUACACAGUUUUCAUUUUACAAUAUUACACUUAUAAAUACUGUAUGAUUAUUUUACUUCUGCUAUAAUAAUCCAUGAAAUGUUUCUCUUAUUUUUACCAGUCUGUGUGUAUAAAAAGGUUAUAAAGCACUGUUCUAGGUGAUUUAUGCUUAAAGAGAGAUAUGAAGUACCUGGUUCAAGUUCUUCCUUCAAAGAGUCAUCAGAAUAGCAUGGAUUGAAGAGACUUUCGAACACUUGCCAUCUCUUGCUGCUGCUAUUACACAAAAGGAAAUAAUAAACAUUUGUUUAAUUUUUAGAUAAGUGUUACACAUAUUUCAGCAAAUAAAUAUUUCAAUGCUCUCUUAA